UACGUAGGGGGCAAGCGUUAUCCGGAUUUACUGGAUGUAAAGGGAGCGUAGACGGUUAUGCAAGUCUGAAGUGAAAGCCCAAGGCUCAACCAUGGGACUGCUUUGGAAACUGUAAAACUGGAGUGCAGGAGAGGUAAGCGGAAUUCCUAGUGUAGCGGUGAAAUGCGUAGAUAUUAGGAGGAACACCAGUGGCGAAGGCGGCUUACUGGACUGUAACUGACGUUGAGGCUCGAAGGCGUGGGGAGCAAACAGG
rnacentral:rRNA from 1 species